AUUUCCUUGGAGGACCAUGUAAGAGCGUCUGAAGAAAUAGUUUGCACACUUGGAGAUGGAACCAAGCCUCAACGACAGAAACUCAUGAAGAUGCUUAACCUUCUCCUUGAUGGUCCUAACAACUUCGGAACUGUGUAACAUGGGCUUCUUGGCUAUGUUUGAUGGAAAAUGCUGCAUGGUAACUAGAACUGAACUAAUUCAGUGCAUUCUGCACUGUUGGAGGUCUGUGGGCUUUGAGUUCAAAUUGUGGGAGUUGGCAACUGAUUCUGUUUUCAUGGUGUUGAGAAGGUCUGAAGGAUUCUCUCGUCACCAUCUUGCAGUGUGGUUCAGUUCUGGAGCUCAAUAUGUUGGAUGGAGCAAGACAAGGUGCCAACUCUGUAGCUAUGAUGCUGAUUGUGUCUACAGGGCCCCGUCCUCAAGUAUUAUUAAUGUAUGGGCAAGUAUUAUUGAUGUAUGGGCAAGCAUGUGCUUCUAUAAUAUAAUAUGUAACAACUAUAUGUUCCUGAGUGGAAGGAUUCUCGGUGAUCAACAUCCUUUAUUCAGAUUCCUUAAACCCAAAGAUGAGCUUUAUAACUUCAUUACUCUACAGUAUCUGUUGUUGUGGGAACAAAUGUGCCACCAUCCACAAAGUCUGGUGGAGCUUUUUUCUUUUCCUUUCCCUCCUUUUCUCAAUGUAUCGUAACCUCAGUUGCACACGUGUUACCUCCUUCUAUUUCUAUGGGAAAGUAAUGACUACUGACGUUGGGAUAUUUUGCAAUGUAGUGUUUCCCCCAGAAAGCAGUCUUUUAUGAUGUCAGGAGAAUCUGUGCAAGGAUGACAAGUAGAAGGUUCCCUUCUACAUGAAAAGGAACACAUAGAGGGGAAAGAGGAGAGGACAGAAGGCAUUUCUUCUUUGUUCUGCGACCUUAUGGAUUCUUCAUCGGAUUCCAUAACCGCAGGAACAUGCAAUGUAUCAGGAGUAACAAUUACCUGACGACUUCGACGAUAAUGCUGAGCACAUUGAAGUUGAGGGGAUCUUCUUUAAGCUUUCUCCUCUCAGUGAUGCAGAUGACGAUGACAAAGACUGUCAGGCAGGAGAGUUGUGACAAAACUGUGCUCUUGAGAAACCUGAUUCCCUGGCUCUCCGUGGAAUGAUCCCUUGUGGUUGAAUUCUCUUCAAAUGGAAACCAUGUUGUGUAUGGAGGUAGAUACCUGGAAGCAAUAAUGAGCAGAAUUUGAGGCAAGAACAACUGGAAAAUUGUACUUGCUAUUAGCAUUUCUACUCAAAGUUCCAGAACAUGACUGCUUCACUGCAACGAUACUCAGGUGUGUGCAUGCAGUUUUGUACUAAGGCGGAUCAGAAACCACUGCAGAAGUAGCUAUUGCUCCGUUUCAAAUAGUCCGCUUUGGAUCAAAAUGGUGGGGUCAAGUAUAGUGCAUGUCUUAUUCAUAAACUUGGUGUAACUGGUGAGGAAAGAGUCGUCACUCAUCAACUCGUGUCAACUUUGUCAUUCAUGAAAGGCAGGCAUCCAUUUCCCGAAAAGAGAAAAUGAGGUCUUCUCGCUGCCUGGACGCGGAGAGCGUAUUCUCGGCAGGUUGAUGAAGGCGGCAUGUGAUACAUGGGCCUGUGUUUGAAUGGAGAGACUUUGGAUGGAUAUCAAUCGCCAUGCAUCUUGAUCUUGUGAUCAGCUGGAAGGUUGAAAUUGAAUAUUCUCUUUGUGGUUACUAGAAGCUAACCGGCUACACGCAUCCAUAUCUGGUCAAAAAUUGGGUGCUUAGCAAAACAAUUAUUUUACUCUAUUAUUUGGCAGAACGGUCCAGACAAGGAUAGCCCGUGCCGUGAAUUGACAAACGGCACGAAGAAGAUUUAGGAAGUUGGAGUAUAAGAAAUUCCUGCCGUCA